UACGUAGGGGGCAAGCGUUGUCCGGAAUCAUUGGGCGUAAAGAGCGUGUAGGCGGUUCGAUAAGUCCGCUGUGAAAGUCCAGGGCUCAACCCUGGAAUGCCGGUGGAUACUGUCGGGCUAGAGUCCGGAAGAGGCGAGUGGAAUUCCUGGUGUAGCGGUGAAAUGCGCAGAUAUCAGGAGGAACACCUAUAGCGAAGGCAGCUCGCUGGGACGGUACUGACGCUGAGACGCGAAAGCGUGGGGAGCGAACAGG
rnacentral:rRNA from 1 species